ACACGGGAAAGGAGGUGGUCCGAAGAAUGAGUUCUUUUAGGACGCGUGAGGUGGCUGCCCGCUAGCAGCCCCAGCAGGACGACGGGGCGGAAGCGCCCCUGACGCUGCUGGCGAAUACCAAGCAGCUACCCGACCCGCAGGCGAACCGGGACCACGUCCCCCGGUGCGGUCCGGACCCCGGUCCGGCACCACGCCUGCGGGUCGCUUCAU
rnacentral:sRNA from 1 species